AGGGCGCUCCGGGCCCGGGUGGGGCGAGCCGGGCCGCGGGGCUCGCUCCGCCAGGGAAAGUUGUCGCGGCUGCCGGGGCGGUUCCCGGCGGCUCCGCUGGGGCUGCCCGGAGCCCUCGGGCCUGCUGGGACGGGCGGGCCGAGCCCCGCUUCUCUCCUCUCCGCUCCGGUGCUGGGGGGGCGGUGGCGAGCUGAGCCGGGAGAGCCCGGCCCGUGCGGAGGGCGCAGCGGGCCUGGGCCCGGGGGUUCCUGGGGCGGGGGCUGCACGGCCCGGCCCGGCUCGGCUCGGCUCGGCUGCUGCGGCUCUCGGGCAGCCCGAGCUGGCUCCGCACCUGGCGGGUCUUGCAGCCGAGGCGGGGUAGCGGGCCCCCGGGCCGCGGCUCCCGCUGGAGCCGCCGAGGGCUGGGCCCUGCCCGCCGGGUGCCCUCGGCCGGCGCUGCCGGAGCUCGGGGACCGCGGCCUUCAGUGGCUCCAUGCAUUGGGCUGGGGGUUUGUGUUAUCCUCGCCUCAGCGGUGCUGGGAGGGUUCAAAACGCUCCUUUAUUGCAAUGUUCAUGAGAGCAGCGGCACUUCUGAUCAUCGCUCCUUUUCACUUAAUUUUGCAUAGAGCGGGCUGGAUAAACUCAUUUGUUAAAAAUCAGUUUCAAGCUCUUUAGACUUCUCCAAGUGAGUUUCUGAUACCUUUAUCCUGACCUGGUUGAUGGUAUGGUCUCUUUUGUGGUGGCCCAGGGCCUGGCAUGAGUGACCAGCUGGGAAACUGGGGAUGAAAAAGACGUGGUGAUGAAAAGAAGUUCAAGAGAGAAAAAGGAAAGCUAAGCACGAGAGGAGAGAAGAGAGGCAGAUAGAUGGAGAUGAGGAACACCCCCCAAAGCAGCAGAAGGAACCAGCUGAAGAACAGCACUGGCCAGAGAAUAUGCCUGAAUGGGAAGAAAGGAAAUCCCUGCUAGCUCAGAGAAGAGUGGAGUCUGUCAGACUGCUUACAGUGCUGUUAAAUCGUGUGAAAUUGGCAAGUCAAAAAGUGGAUCCUUCACUGGGUAUAAAGAAGGACAAUUCGUUUUCUGAAACAGCAUUUAAAGACAUCCAGCAGGAGCUGAUUAACUCCCUUUACCAUACGCACAAAGAGCUGAAACGUGUGGAGUUUAAGUGCCCAUUAACCCAAAAAGGCAGUGCUUUAUGCUGUGAGGAAGGAGAUGUGAGUACCUUCCAUGCACCUGCUUGUCACAUAGUGAGGACAAUUUUAAAUGAUGCCUCUGCAGCCCCGAGCUCUGAUGGACUGCCUGGCAGAGAUGUGUGCAACUCCCUGCUGAUCACGGUCACCCAGCACGGCAGGGUCAUCCAGCCUCUCCCUGCAAGGCACCACCCAGCACUGGACGUAGGUCACACCCACACAGUGUCUGAGCAAGAUGAUUGCAGAAAGCAAAAGGUUUAUGAGACUGAUGAAUUCAUCCAUUAUUUACUGAACUACUAUCAGACACCACACUAUGCACGUGUUUGCUUAGAGCCAAAAACCACUGUGAACAAAUCCCGGUGGAAGCGAGUGGUGUCUGAUGAUGGUGGUGGGUUUGACAGCAGCUUGAGAAACAAACAUGGUCAGCACUUCAGAGAGUUGAGUCCUGUACAAAACCUCCACAAGAGAAAUUGUAGCAGUGAUAGUAAUUACAGGCUGGUGAUCACUCUUGGAGAAUUUGAGUCAACAGACAAAGUGUUAGAAAGCAAGGUCCAUGGGGGCAAGCUUGCAAAAAAGCUGCAGGUGCAGAGGAAUGACUCACUCACUGUUGAUACUGUACCACAUGCUGGACUGAAUCAUUCUUUGGAGUGCACUACUGUUACUCAUAAUGAGGAAUUCAAACAAGAAGAUGGUAAAGAUGAAGGCACUGUACCAUAUGGAACACGUAGAUCUGCUUGCAGAUCAAAGGAUUUGCUGGAAGAGAUCAGUGAUUCUGAGUGCUUUAGAGAGGCAUGUGGCGGCUCAGUGAAGAGAGCAGAAAGAAGGUAUGAAGAAAUUUACAGCAGUUGUAAUAAAGGGUGCUUGUCUACAAGAGCUGGGGAAAGAGAAUUACUGGUUUGCCAUAAAAAUGUAGCUCUGGAAGGUCAAGAGAAGGAAACCAGCCAAUGUAACUCCUGUUCUAAUUCUGUCCAUGAGGGCUUGGCAAGGCAGUGUGAACGUAAACUUAAAAAGUCAUGCAAGAGGUCUAGUAGUAAAUUAAGAUAUGAAGGAAAGAAAAGUGAGAGACAAUCCAGGGAAAAGGAGAAAAAUGCUCAUAAAAUGAAGAAAAAGCGAAAAAAGCUUUCUUCUAAUCUUUUAUCUGAUGAAUGUGGCUUUUCAGAGACGGACAGUUGCAUGCAGCUGGAGUCGCUCAGAAAGAUUCAGAGAAAAUGUAAGAAAAUGUUGCACAAAAAAGUGAAAUUCAAGACACAUCACACCUCUAUGGCUGCACAAGAUGUUGCCCCUCAUGAUGGCUCACCCCUUCAGGAAACCCUCCAGAGGAGAGGUGAGAGAGGGGGACACCACAGCUCUGUGGCAGGAGAUGAGAGGAAAUUAAUGUUGAGAAGAGAGAUGGAUGCAGAUGUCAGAGGAUGCCCUCUAUUUCCUCUUGAGAUAAUUCAGACAAACCCCUUCUCAGAUACUUUCUGUGGAGGAGAGCCCAGAAGAGGAUGUUGAACAGCUACUGUAUUAUAGCUCUGAAGUUUUUAUAAACAAGUGGGAGAAGAAAGCCCUUUGAUCAUUAAAAGAAAUAUGAACUAC